GAAGACGAAACGCGAAGGAGAAGAAGAAAGGAGAAGAAAAAAAAAAAGGAAGAAAAAGAUUUAGCCGUCCGAUUCCAAUUCCGACUUGGGUGUACGUUGGAGGAGAUUUGAGUGAAGUUAUAAAAAUCCAGAAAGUAUCGGUAGGAGGUACGCAUGGCACCUCCGGGACAGGGGACGUCUCGGGAGAUAGAAAGACGGGCUGAAUGAGUGAACUGCAUCUGAUGUAUUAUAUGUAAAUUCUAACUAGAAAAACCUCCCGUUUUGGGAGUAUGUUUUUGUAAAUAUUUAUAAACUAUUUUUUUUUUGGGAAUAAUAAAAUGC